GAACUUACCUGACGCGAAGGACUACCGUGAUCAGGAAGGCGGUUCCUUCGAGGCGAGACUCCUCCAUUGCACAUAGGAUGAGUUAGUCCUCGCGAGUGAUCAAUUACUCGAGCGUAUAAUUUUUUGAUUGGGGAAGUGCGUUCGCGCAAUCCCGAU